CAAGAAAGUUAAGAUUACAUUAAUUUUACAGUCAGGUAUUCUUUUCUUUAUCGCCUCAAUGCUCUGGUUGAUGAUUCCAGUGGCCCCCAUAAAAUUCCAAUGGCCUCCAUAAAUUUCCAAUGGCCCCCAUAAAUUUUACUGGAGAAAAUGUUUCCCCCACUUCUUGCCAUUAAAUCUCCUUAUCUCCAUAGCCCCCAAUUUUACCCAUCCAAGGGAGAGUCUUG
rnacentral:lncRNA from 1 species